GAGUUUGAUCCUGGCUCAGGACGAACGCUGGCGGCGUGCUUAACACAUGCAAGUCGAGCGGAAAGGCCCUUUCGGGGGUACUCGAGCGGCGAACGGGUGAGUAACACGUGAGUAAUCUGCCCUCUACUUUGGGAUAACUCUCGGAAACGGGAGCUAAUACCGGAUAUGACCAUGGUGCGCAUGUGCUGUGGUGGAAAGUUUUUUCGGUAGGGGAUGUGCUCGCGGCCUAUCAGCUUGUUGGUGGGGUAAUGGCCUACCAAGGCUUUGACGGGUAGCCGGCCUGAGAGGGUGACCGGCCACACUGGGACUGAGACACGGCCCAGACUCCUACGGGAGGCAGCAGUGGGGAAUAUUGGACAAUGGGCGGAAGCCUGAUCCAGCAACGCCGCGUGAGGGAUGACGGCCUUCGGGUUGUAAACCUCUUUCAGCAUUGACGAAGCUGCUCUUUUGGGUGGUGACGGUAGGUGCAGAAGAAGGACCGGCCAACUACGUGCCAGCAGCCGCGGUAAUACGUAGGGUCCGAGCGUUGUCCGGAAUUAUUGGGCGUAAAGGGCUCGUAGGCGGUUUGUCGCGUCGGGAGUGAAAACACCGGGCUUAACUCGGUGCUUGCUUCCGAUACGGGCAGACUGGAGGUAUGCAGGGGAGAACGGAAUUCCUGGUGUAGCGGUGAAAUGCGCAGAUAUCAGGAGGAACACCGGUGGCGAAGGCGGUUCUCUGGGCAUUACCUGACGCUGAGGAGCGAAAGUGUGGGGAGCGAACAGGAUUAGAUACCCUGGUAGUCCACACCGUAAACGUUGGGCGCUAGGUGUGGGAUCCAUUCCACGGGUUCCGUGCCGUAGCUAACGCAUUAAGCGCCCCGCCUGGGGGAGUAC
rnacentral:rRNA from 1 species